GAAGGGACCUCUGCUGCAAAUGUUUCAACACUCACACUAUCAUCUCCUUCCCAGAGACUAGCGAAGAUUAGAAGGUGAAAAAAACGCACUCGCGAUUAAAUGUUCUCUGAGCUCAUGCAGUCCUCCCACACUGAAGAAGCCAAGGAGAAUGUGUGGAGGCACACAAUGUUAGAGUCCAGGAAAGCACAAUAUGAAUGCGAGGACAGGUGGCGGGACCAACAGGAGAGCAGA